GAAAGGAAGAGCAGAGCUGAAGAAGACAAGCCGAAGAGACAGCCACAGGAGGGCUACAGCAGGGCCGCCUCUCCCUUCUACAACCACAAGCAAGUACAGCUGCUUCCAGACGAGAUCCUGGUGGAAGCAAAGAACGUGGAGCAGCUGGUGUCCCUUUGGAAGGAGGCCCAGGCCUGCUUCUAUUACAGGAGCUGGCUCACCAUCCCUGAGGCCCAGCUGGUGGUGCUGUCCUACCUGAUGCUGCUGCACACAGCCACAUGGCAGAUCUUGGGCAUCCAGCUGCAGGUCAUCAUCAUCCUGAUCAACACCAACACUGGCGUCCAUGGCAUGGAGGUCAGCGAGUCCCAGGUGCCUUGGCCUGCGUGGUCCCAUGGGGAGACAUCAGGCAGAACCCCAACACAUGGAGCCUCUCACAGACAGGGACAGAGCUGGAGACCAUCAGUGACUUCCUCUUUCAGAGCUGGGUAGACAACAUCAAGCCGUUCAAGGUCCCGGCCACCUCCUCAUGGCUGGGUGCCUUUCACAGGUGCAGCGGUAGUGCGAGAAGAGUAAGGCCAGCAGGAAGGUAGAGCCCCUUCCCAGCCCCCUCUGCCCUAACUCCUACCUCAGAGACCCUGGCUCCUCUCUGUCUGUGCUCCCCUGGUUGGGGAGGGUGUGAGGCACAGUCAUCUGGAGUCCCUGCAUCAUGUUGUCACCCUCUCUCCUCUUGACCAGCUCUGUCGCUUCAUGGAAUACUGUGCCACUGUCCUGCCACCCCAGGAGCAGUCCCCACUGGCAGGGCUCCGGCACUUCCUGCAGAGCCUCCAGCCCAAGUUGACCAAGGCUCCUGCUGCCCCCUGGAGGAGGUGAGGCCAGGCCACUUGGGUCACGUCCCAGCUGAUGCACAUUAAAAGCUUCCUCACAGCC
rnacentral:lncRNA from 1 species